rnacentral:lncRNA from 1 species
UAUCAUCAAGCCUGACGUGGACUUUAUGAGUAUGGUGGAAGGAGAGAAGCAAUUCCCACUUGUUUUCCUCUGACCUCUGCUUUUGUUUCAUGACUGGUGCUCACAAGCAUGUGCUCAUACAUGCACAUUUAAUAAAACACCAGUACCUGAGAUGCUGAUAGCUAAAGGAAUUGUAUUUUUGGUUUAAAUAAUCUACGUCAUUAUAAAAAAGCUAAUAAGUCUUGUUUUGAAUCAGUCUUUUCUUGUUGUUGUUUUUUGUCUUUUCUUUUUUCGAGACAGGGUUUCGCUGUAUAGCUCUGGCCUCAAACUCAGAAAUCCGUCUGCCUCUGCCUCCCAAGUGCUGGGAUUAAAGGCGUGCGCCACCACACCGAUCAUUUUGAGACAGUCUUAAACACCCUCUCCACCCUGGCUCCCUGGUACUCAGGAUGUAAAUCAGGCUGAUCCUCAAACUCAGACCCACCUGCCUCUGCCUCCCUAGUCCUGGUGCACCUCCCCAUGCCUAGCAAAUGUUGGUCUUGCUCUGUGGCAUUUAGUUGAAAUAAGCUGUGUCUUUAAAGUUGAUGACCUCCUAUUCUUUUUUCAUUGAUUUAUCUCUGAGGGGCCACACUUGGCUAUCUCACCCGGAGCUGUUUGGGCACCUGGCUGGUAUGAGCUAGCUUGUAACAGGUGAGGUGAUAGAGUUCCCGAGGAGCCGUGACUAAGCACUCAGGUGCUCAGACGGCCUUUACCACUUCAUGUUUUGUGAGUGAAUUAUUCCAAAAGUGAGAGCACAUUGCAGUUGCUUUAAUUGCAUGCUUCACUCUGACUGGUUAAACCACCCUCAUGUGUUAAUGGACAUGUCUCAUUCUUGGUUUUGUUUUGUUUUGUUUUGUCUGAGACAGGGUUUCUCUGUGUAGCCCUGACUGUCCUGGAACUCACUCUGUAGACCGGACUGGCCUGGAACCCAGAAAUCCGCCUGCCUCUGCCUCCCGCCACCACUGCCUAGCACAUGUCUCAUUCUUAACUGCAUCUUGGAUGAUUGAUACUUCACUCUUUUGCUUUGUUUUUUAUUUUCUCCUAAAAGGAUCUUUUUAUUUACAUUUACUUAGAAACAGUAUUCAAGAUAUCUUAAAGGGAAAUGCCUUUGGUUGCACGGCAAGUUAAGGAUAACCUCCUGUCACUGACUUCAUUUGUCCCCUUCGAAGGGCUCACCUCUGCAUUUUCCAGCACUUCUGGAAUAACCAGGAAAAGCAUAUUGUUGCUGCAUUAGGUGACAUUGACACUUGUGGAUCUGCCUUAGAGGGUGCUAGCAAAUGAUAGAUAGCAAGUCUUUGAAAGCCUAGGCCUGAGACUGUCCACAUAGAAGCUGGCACAUUGUUUGAGAAGUGAUGGCUGCUUGUGGCAGCUGUGUUUGCAGGCAGAUUGCUAUGGUCUGGGUCCCCUUUGUCCUAUUGGGUCUGGAGUGUUUCCACACACGGUUACAGCAUAUGUUGGGAGCAGACAAGAAAGGCUUCCUGAGGAAGUGGCAUUGAGACUUCACCUCACAAUGAUGAAUGAAAAAUGCUUCAAAAGGAGAAAGCAGUUGGAGGGCCGAGGACACAGCAAGAGGCUCAAGCAUGCAAGGUCAGAGGAAUACCCUCUCCACACCCCAGCUUUGGAGAACAGGGGAGGUGACCAACCUUAGUGACCAUGUAGAGACAGGAGGUAGUAGAGAGCCAUUGAAUGAUUUUGCAGUUGUUGAAGAAAUGAGCAUGAGGUGGAGAGGAGGCACACUGGGAGGCUGGUGUAGUUUGUGAUCUGCAGACUGCCUGCUUCCUGUUAUUCUGCAUAUGUGGUCUCACAAGCUGGAGGGAUCCUUUAAAAAUGGAAAUAUCUGGAGGUCACUUCUCUGGGCUGACUCCUCCUGUUUCUGUUGAAAUGUAUUGACAGUUCUGGGGUCUACUAGAAUAUCUACCUCUGUUCUUCUCUCCCUCCCAUUACCAUCCUGCCCUUUGGCUCUUGUGCCUACCACUCCCCUUAGGGGUGCUGGUGCUGCCUUGCUGUCCCUGGCCAUCAGUGUUAGCUUGUUCCCCAGCCUCUGUCUGUUUUAGGCAUGUUGGUAUUUGUCCGAGUACCUCAUUGGUUUUAGAAAGGGAAAGUUGAGGGUCCCGGGAGUGGUCCAGGGUUAAAGUGUACGUUUCAUUUGACAGAUUCUAGAGGUGGGAAAAAACCGACUCUGUGAGGGGGUGGCAUUUGGAAACAUAAAGGCAGACGUGGGGAAGUGUGAACCUCAGGCAGAUCUGACUGGGUAGAGUUUGGGGUGGUGUCUAAGAGAGACCCAGGGACCAGAGUGUCUGCUAAGGGAAAGCCCAGCAGCAGAGUUGGCCCAGCUCUACCUAAGGGACUGCCAUUUGUCCCCAUCUUGAGGACUCUGCCUAGGAUCCAAAGCUGCCAGUCAGGAGAAAGAGGAGGAGAGUGGUGCUGAAAUCAUGGUAAGCUGUGUUGGGCUGUAAGUAAGUAGAAUGCAAGAACUAUGACAGUCUAGCUGGGAAGGGGGUUGUUUGGGAAGGUCAGCGUAGGGCUAGCAGCACCAGCAAGGAGAGCAUGUCUGUGACCACCAGAGAGGGCAGAAAUUGAGGCCACUGCUUGACCCUGGCCCUAGGGGCCUGUGUCUGCUGUUACUGGAGUGGGACUCUAGGGCAGUAGCCUUGGGGUGGGUAGCAUGGCCAACCAGGCCAGUAGAGAUUUUAUUGAUGGUGGUUUUUGACUCUGGGGCUGAUGACGAGCAUCUUGGUAACUAUGGCAACUGGUUAAGGGCAGUAUUUCCUGCCCUUCUUGGGAGGGAAAAACAACCAAAUAAAACCUUAGGGUUGGCUGGUGAGUAUAACUUUCAUCCCAGCUCUGAGCAACAGAGGCAAGAAGAUCUCUGAGUUUUAGUCCAGCCUGGUCUGCUUGAGACUGUCUUCAGGCUCUCUGAGACCACAUUCACACAUGGGUUGAACGCAUGCUCCAAGUCUGUUCUGUGAAGGUCCUGACAUUUUAGGAAGAUUCUGUGACCCGUGAACUCCACACUUAAGAGUUCAUGUUG